GAGGGGAAAAGGCAUGUCUAGUAUAAGCACUAUACAGUGAAACUGCGAAUGGCUCAUUAAAUCAGUUAUCGUUUAUUUGAUAGUACCUUACUACUUGGAUAACCGUGGUAAUUCUAGAGCUAAUACAUGCUAAAAAUCCCGACCUCCGGAAGGGAUGUAUUUAUUAGAUAAAAAACCAAUGCCUUCGGGCUCCUUGGUGAUUCAUGAUAACUUAACGAAUCGCAUGGCCUUGCGCCGGCGAUGGUUCAUUCAAAUUUCUGCCCUAUCAACUUUCGAUGGUAGGAUAGUGGCCUACCAUGGUUUCAACGGGUAACGGGGAAUUAGGGUUCGAUUCCGGAGAGGGAGCCUGAGAAACGGCUACCACAUCCAAGGAAGGCAGCAGGCGCGCAAAUUACCCAAUCCCAAUCCGGGGAGGUAGUGACAAUAAAUACUGAUACAGGGCUCUUUUGGGUCUUGUAAUUGGAAUGAGUACAAUUUAAAUCCCUUAACGAGGAACAAUUGGAGGGCAAGUCUGGGCCC
rnacentral:rRNA from 1 species